GUAAGCUACUAAGAGCGAAUGGUGGAUGCCUUGACUGGUAAAGGCGAUGAAGGACGUACUAGACUGCGAUAAGCUACGGGGAGCUGUCAAGAAGCUUUGAUCCGUAGAUUUCCGAAUGGGGCAACCCAAUGUAUAGAGAUAUACAUUACCUAUAUAGGAGCGAACGAGGGGAAUUGAAACAUCUUAGUACCCUCAGGAAAAGAAAUCAAUAGAGAUUGCGUCAGUAGCGGCGAGCGAAAGCGCAAGAGGGCAAACCCAGUGCUUGCACUGGGGGUUGUAGGACUGCAAUGUGCAAGAGGUAAGUUUAGCAGAACAUUCUGGAAAGUAUAACCAUAGAGGGUGAUAGUCCCGUAUGCGAAAAACAAACCUUAGCUAGCAGUAUCCUGAGUAGGGCGGGACACGAGGAAUCCUGUCUGAAUCCGGGUCGACCACGAUCCAACCCUAAAUACUAAUACCAGAUCGAUAGUGCACAAGUACCGUGAGGGAAAGGUGAAAAGAACUGAGGUGAUCAGAGUGAAAUAGAACCUGAAACCAUUUGCUUACAAUCAUUCAGAGCCCUAUGUAGCAAUACAGGGUGAUGGACUGCCUUUUGCAUAAUGAGCCUGCGAGUUGUGGUGUCUGGCAAGGUUAAGCAAACGCGAAGCCGUAGCGAAAGCGAGUCUGAAUAGGGCGCUUAGUCAGAUGCUGCAGACCCGAAACGAAGUGAUCUAUCCAUGAGCAAGUUGAAGCUAGUGUAAGAACUAGUGGAGGACUGAACCCAUAGGCGUUGAAAAGCCCCGGGAUGACUUGUGGAUAGGGGUGAAAGGCCAAUCAAACUUCGUGAUAGCUGGUUCUCUCCGAAAUAUAUUUAGGUAUAGCGUUGUGUCGUAAUAUAAGGGGGUAGAGCACUGAAUGGGCUAGGGCAUACACCAAUGUACCAAACCCUAUCAAACUCCGAAUACCUUAUAUGUAAUCACAGCAGUCAGGCGGCGAGUGAUAAAAUCCGUCGUCAAGAGGGAAACAACCCAGACUACCAGCUAAGGUCCCUAAAUCUUACUUAAGUGGAAAACGAUGUGAAGUUACUUAAACAACCAGGAGGUUGGCUUAGAAGCAGCCAUCCUUUAAAGAAAGCGUAAUAGCUCACUGGUCUAGUGAUUUUGCGCGGAAAAUAUAACGGGGCUAAAGUAAGUACCGAAGCUGUAGACUUGCACACAACUUAGAUUAUUUAAGUUUAGAAUAUGAGAAACUAAGUUAUAUGUUUAGUUAUAUUUUUACUGAUUUUUAUAGAGUAAAGAUAGAAAUAAAACUUAGUAAAAUCAGUAAAAAUAUUCUUAGACUAAAGUUAAGUAGUUUAAGUUGUGUGCAAGUGGUAGGAGAGCGUUCUAUUUGCGUCGAAGGUAUACCGGUAAGGAGUGCUGGAGCGAAUAGAAGUGAGCAUGCAGGCAUGAGUAGCGAUAAUUAAUGUGAGAAUCAUUAACGCCGUAAACCCAAGGUUUCCUACGCGAUGCUCGUCAUCGUAGGGUUAGUCGGGUCCUAAGUCGAGUCCGAAAGGGGUAGACGAUGGCAAAUUGGUUAAUAUUCCAAUACCAACAUUAGUGUGCGAUGGAAGGACGCUUAGGGCUAAGGGGGCUAGCGGAUGGAAGUGCUAGUCUAAGGUCGUAGGAGGUUGUACAGGCAAAUCCGUAUAACAAUACUCCGAGAACUGAAAGGCUUUUUGAAGUCUUCGGAUGGAUAGAAGAACCCCUGAUGCCGUCGAGCCAAGAAAAGUUUCUAAGUUUAGCUAAUGUUGCCCGUACCGUAAACCGACACAGGUGGGUGGGAUGAGUAUUCUAAGGCGCGUGGAAGAACUCUCUUUAAGGAACUCUGCAAAAUAGCACCGUAUCUUCGGUAUAAGGUGUGGUUAGCUUUGUAUUAGGAUUUACUCCGAAAGCAAGGAAACUUACAACAAAGAGUCCCUCCCGACUGUUUACCAAAAACACAGCACUCUGCUAACUCGUAAGAGGAUGUAUAGGGUGUGACGCCUGCCCGGUGCUCGAAGGUUAAUUGAUGGGGUUAGCAUUAGCGAAGCUCUUGAUCGAAGCCCGAGUAAACGGCGGCCGUAACUAUAACGGUCCUAAGGUAGCGAAAUUCCUUGUCGGUUAAAUACCGACCUGCAUGAAUGGCGUAACGAGAUGGGAGCUGUCUCAAAGAGGGAUCCAGUGAAAUUGUAGUGGAGGUGAAAAUUCCUCCUACCCGCGGCAAGACGGAAAGACCCCGUGGACCUUUACUACAGCUUGACACUGCUACUUGGAUAAGAAUGUGCAGGAUAGGUGGGAGGCUUUGAGUAUAUGACGCCAGUUGUAUAUGAGCCAUUGUUGAGAUACCACUCUUUCUUAUUUGGGUAGCUAACCAGCUUGAGUUAUCCUCAAGUGGGACAAUGUCUGGUGGGUAGUUUGACUGGGGCGGUCGCCUCCCAAAUAAUAACGGAGGCUUACAAAGGUUGGCUCAGAACGGUUGGAAAUCGUUCGUAGAGUAUAAAGGUAUAAGCCAGCUUAACUGCAAGACAUACAAGUCAAGCAGAGACGAAAGUCGGUCUUAGUGAUCCGGUGGUUCUGUGUGGAAGGGCCAUCGCUCAAAGGAUAAAAGGUACCCCGGGGAUAACAGGCUGAUCUCCCCCAAGAGCUCACAUCGACGGGGAGGUUUGGCACCUCGAUGUCGGCUCAUCGCAUCCUGGGGCUGGAGCAGGUCCCAAGGGUAUGGCUGUUCGCCAUUUAAAGCGGUACGCGAGCUGGGUUCAGAACGUCGUGAGACAGUUCGGUCCCUAUCUGCCGUGGGCGUAAGAAGAUUGAAGAGAUUUGACCCUAGUACGAGAGGACCGGGUUGAACAAACCACUGGUGUAG
rnacentral:rRNA from 1 species